AACGCACAUUGCGCCCGCUAGUAUUCUGGCGGGCAUGCCUGUCUGAGCGUCAUUUCAACCCUCAAGCAACAUCUGCUUGGUGUUGGUGAUCGGCCUUCAAACGCCGUCUCCUAAAUCUAUUGGCGAUCCCGCUGUAGCUUCCUAUGCGUAGUAGUAACAUCUCGCAUCUGGAGAGCGGCGCGGUCAUGCCGUAAAACACCCAACUUUUUUCAGGUUGACCUCAGAUCAGGUAGGAAUACCCGCUGAACUUAA
rnacentral:misc_RNA from 1 species